UGGGGAAUAUUGGACAAUGGGCGAAAGCCUGAUCCAGCAAUGCCGCGUGAGUGAUGAAGGCCUUAGGGUUGUAAAGCUCUUUUACCCGGGAUGAUAAUGACAGUACCGGGAGAAUAAGCCCCGGCUAACUCCGUGCCAGCAGCCGCGGUAAUACGGAGGGGGCUAGCGUUGUUCGGAAUUACUGGGCGUAAAGCGCGCGUAGGCGGCUUUGUAAGUUAGAGGUGAAAGCCCGGAGCUCAACUCCGGAAUUGCCUUUAAGACUGCAUCGCUAGAAUCAUGGAGAGGUUAGUGGAAUUCCGAGUGUAGAGGUGAAAUUCGUAGAUAUUCGGAAGAACACCAGUGGCGAAGGCGACUAACUGGACAUGUAUUGACGCUGAGGUGCGAAAGCGUGGGGAGCAAACA
rnacentral:rRNA from 1 species